AAAUUGAAGAGUUUGAUCAUGGCUCAGAUUGAACGCUGGCGGCAGGCCUAACACAUGCAAGUCGAGCGGUAGCACAGAGAGCUUGCUCUCGGGUGACGAGCGGCGGACGGGUGAGUAAUGUCUGGGAAACUGCCUGAUGGAGGGGAUAACUACUGGAAACGGUAGCUAAUACCGCAUAACGUCGCAAGACCAAAGUGGGGACCUUCGGGCCUCAUGCCAUCAGAUGUGCCCAGAUGGGAUUAGCUAGUAGGUGGGGUAACGGCUCACCUAGGCGACGAUCCCUAGCUGGUCUGAGAGGAUGACCAGCCACACUGGAACUGAGACACGGUCCAGACUCCUACGGGAGGCAGCAGUGGGGAAUAUUGCACAAUGGGCGCAAGCCUGAUGCAGCCAUGCCGCGUGUGUGAAGAAGGCCUUCGGGUUGUAAAGCACUUUCAGCGGGGAGGAAGGCGAUAAGGUUAAUAACCUUGUCGAUUGACGUUACCCGCAGAAGAAGCACCGGCUAACUCCGUGCCAGCAGCCGCGGUAAUACGGAGGGUGCAAGCGUUAAUCGGAAUUACUGGGCGUAAAGCGCACGCAGGCGGUCUGUCAAGUCGGAUGUGAAAUCCCCGGGCUCAACCUGGGAACUGCAUUCGAAACUGGCAGGCUAGAGUCUUGUAGAGGGGGUAGAAUUCCAGGUGUAGCGGUGAAAUGCGUAGAGAUCUGGAGGAAUACCGGUGGCGAAGGCGGCCCCCUGGACAAAGACUGACGCUCAGGUGCGAAAGCGUGGGAGCAAACAGGAUUAGAUACCCUGGUAGUCCACGCCGUAAACGAUGUCGAUUUGGAGGUUGUGCCCUUGAGGCGUGGCUUCCGGAGCUAACGCGUUAAAUCGACCGCCUGGGGAGUACGGCCGCAAGGUUAAAACUCAAAUGAAUUGACGGGGCCCGCACAAGCGGUGGAGCAUGUGGUUUAAUUCGAUGCAACGCGAAGAACCUUACCUGGUCUUGACAUCCACAGAACUUUCCAGAGAUGGAUUGGUGCCUUCGGGAACUGUGAGACAGGUGCUGCAUGGCUGUCGUCAGCUCGUGUUGUGAAAUGUUGGGUUAAGUCCCGCAACGAGCGCAACCCUUAUCCUUUGUUGCCAGCGGUCCGGCCGGGAACUCAAAGGAGACUGCCAGUGAUAAACUGGAGGAAGGUGGGGAUGACGUCAAGUCAUCAUGGCCCUUACGACCAGGGCUACACACGUGCUACAAUGGCAUAUACAAAGAGAAGCGACCUCGCGAGAGCAAGCGGACCUCAUAAAGUAUGUCGUAGUCCGGAUUGGAGUCUGCAACUCGACUCCAUGAAGUCGGAAUCGCUAGUAAUCGUAGAUCAGAAUGCUACGGUGAAUACGUUCCCGGGCCUUGUACACACCGCCCGUCACACCAUGGGAGUGGGUUGCAAAAGAAGUAGGUAGCUUAACCUUCGGGAGGGCGCUUACCACUUUGUGAUUCAUGACUGGGGUGAAGUCGUAACAAGGUAACCGUAGGGGAACCUGCGGUUGGAUCACCUCCUUACCUUAAAGAA
rnacentral:rRNA from 1 species